UCGGGAAUUUUGGGCAAUGGGCGAAAGCCUGACCCAGCAACGCCGCGUGAAGGAUGAAGUAUUUCGGUAUGUAAACUUCGAAAGAAUAGGAAGAAUAAAUGGCGGUACUAUUUAUAAGGUCCGGCUAACUACGUGCCAGCAGCCGCGGUAAUACGUAGGGACCAAGCGUUGUUCGGAUUUACUGGGCGUAAAGGGCGCGUAGGCGGCAAUUCAAGUCAUCUGUGAAAUCUCCGGGCUUAACUCGGAACGGUCAGAUGAUACUGCUUUGCUAGAGUGCAGAAGGGGCAAUCGGAAUUCUUGGUGUAGCGGUGAAAUGCGUAGAUAUCAAGAGGAACACCUGAGGUGAAGACGGGUUGCUGGGCUGACACUGACGCUGAGGCGCGAAAGCCAGGGGAGCAAACGGGAUUAGAUACCCAAGUAGUCCCUGAGCGGGCUGGCAAGGCGCAU
rnacentral:rRNA from 1 species